rnacentral:rRNA from 1 species
UAAACCAUGCACCGAAGCUGCGGCAGCGACGCUUAGGCGUUGUUGGGUAGGGGAGCGUUCUGUAAGCCGUUGAAGGUAGUCUGUGAGGACUGCUGGAGGUAUCAGAAGUGCGAAUGCUGACAUAAGUAACGAUAAUGCGGGUGAAAAACCCGCACGCCGGAAGACCAAGGGUUCCUGUCCAACGUUAAUCGGGGCAGGGUGAGUCGACCCCUAAGGCGAGGCUGAAAAGCGUAGUCGAUGGGAAACAGGUUAAUAUUCCUGUACUUGGUGUUACUGCGAAGGGGGGACGGAGAAGGCUAGGCUAGCCGGGCGACGGUUGUCCCGGUUUAAGCGUGUAGGGGGAGUGACCUGGUAAAUCCGGUGACUUAUCAACCCUGAGGCGUGAUGACGAUGCACUACGGUGCAGAAGUAGUUGAUGCCAAGCUUCCAGGAAAAGCCUCUAAGCAU